rnacentral:lncRNA from 1 species
AUGGAAUUUAUGCGAAAAGAUUUGCCACAUUUUUCGUAUUUAAUAUUUUGGAAAUUAUUUAUUAGUUGGAUUUAAUUAAAGUGGUACAUAUAAUUGUGUUAGUUUUUAGUCCGAAUCAAUAAUAAUGUUUUUAAUAAUUUACCGAUCGUUUAUAUAGUAAGUGGCAAAGCAUUUAAUGGUUGGUACCUGAGAAUCUGAGAUUUCAAGUUCGAAUCUUAAUUAAUUCGCAUUUCCAACUAAAUUUAAUUUUAAAUAAAAUAAAUCAAGCGGGUAUCUCUCAAAAAUAAUAUUUUCAAUGGUUUUACUUAUGAA